UACGGAAGGGGCAAGCGUUGUUCGGAAUUAUUGGGCGUAAAGGGCGUGUAGGCGGCUUCGCAGGUCUGUGGUGAAAGCAUACAGCUCAACUGUAUUGAGCCAUGGAAACGGCGGAGCUUUGAGGCUGGGGAGGGGCUGGUGGAAUUCCCUGUGUAGCGGUGAAAUGCGUAGAGAUGGGGGGAGAACACUCGUGGCGAAGGCGGCCAGCUGGACCAGUUCUGACGCUGAGACGCGAAAGCGUGGGGGAGCAAACAGG
rnacentral:rRNA from 1 species